rnacentral:rRNA from 1 species
UACGGAGGGUGCUAGCGUUGUUCGGAAUCACUGGGCGUAAAGGGCGUGUAGGCGGUCUGUUAAGUCUGAUGUGAAAUCCCCUCGCUCAACGAGGGAACUGCGUCGGAUACUGGCAGACUCGAGUACCGGAGAGGAAGGUGGAAUUCCCGGUGUAGCGGUGAAAUGCGUAGAUAUUGGGAAGAACACCGGUGGCGCAGGCGACUUGCUGGGCUGUAACUGACGCUGAGGAACGAAAGCUAGGGGAGCAAAUGGG